ACACAAUUUAUUCCGCAUGUGGUCAAAGGAACCAGUCGGUGGCGCUUCAGCGCAACAUGUACAAAUAUGAUAUGUCUACAGCAGCCAGAUGGAUAAUUCAUUAAUAACGAGCACAUGGGGUCGCUCUGACUAAAACAGCAUACAUGGAGGAUUUCAAAAGGCUUGCGCAUUAAAGAGGCUCACUGUUCCACCGCGUAUUAUUGACUUUUUCCCUUCGUCCACUUUUGCGCAAAGGGAGAAUGUUGUAAGCGGUCCCUGUGGAUAUACUGUGUCUUCAUGAGGAGUUGAGCGCAAAUAAGGGGGCGGGUGAUGAUAAUGUGUGAAGAGUGGCAGCAACUUCUCACUACACGGCAACAUUUUCCGUUCUUCUUCAGGCGAUAUGCCCAUUCUUUCUAAAGAAGCUCCGAGGAGGAAGGCUGGUGGUGGACAUGGUGAAAAUGACAGGUAAAAGCACACAUUCAGUAUACAGGUGAAUCUCAGGGAGGUUGAUGAGUCACCACUGGAACAGGACACACCCUAUUAACAAGUGUCAACUCCAAACAUCUCCUUGGGUUCCACAGUCAUGUGGGUGUGGGAUCCAAAAAAAGCUGGUCCACAUACAACAACCGAGAGGCAAUGUGCAAACAAAAUGUAGAAAGGCAGCAGCAACCACCCCCUCCCCCAACACUCCUUUGGUCCCCUCCAGGCUAAACUUACCCGACCUGAUUUCUGCAGCCACCGUCCAAUAUAAAAGUUGGAAAAUGCAUAGUUGAACAAGCUCCAGAGCAAAUAAGAGGUCAAUGCUAGUUGUAUCCUUGGAAAGGGUGGGAAGGUAUUGUAUAUAUAAAUAAUAUGUGCAUUCUCUUUCAUUUUAAACAUGAUUUAGUGUCACUGGUAUUUAUGCAACAGUAAGCUCUAUUUAAACAGCAUGAAACAAUUUAGGACAUUAAGAACUAAUAUGAAUGUGUGCAACCGACAGGUCUUAGCGUUUCUCAAUAUGACUGAAUGAAAGGGAGGAGGAAAGGUUAAAUAAACAACUCACUGAAAUCCCAGUCUUGGCUCUUGGCAAAUACAAUUUUUUUCUAAUUGGCAUGAUUAUAUAUUUAUGAUUCAUGUUCAGCAUGAGGGUUAUAGUAUAGAGUAUAUGCAUAACAAAAACUCAAAUGAAAAGCUCAAAUGUUUUCCAUCUUUUUAUUUUUAGAUUGCUGUUAUCCAUUAAAUGCUGUUAAAGACUUUAAAGACAAAGUCAGGUUCUGUUUUCUUCCCUCUUGAGUGGUUUUGAGAGUUUUUGGCUGUUUAUGCACAGUGAUUCGUGGUUAAUUGCCACGGCUUUCUGCAUUAUGAAAUCAGGCUUAACCUGUAUCCUGAAAAGCUUAUUCCACAGGAGAGCAAUUCACUUAUGUUUAAUAUCGCUGAUAUGUGGAGGAAUUACUUGAUGGAGGCAGGGGUUUCAUCAGGAAGCUUGCAGUGGUACCCUGGAGAGGCUGCUAGAAUGAAUGUUCCUAAUGGACAGCUGGAUCCAGACAAUUCA
ensembl:lncRNA